UACGUAGGGUGCGAGCGUUGUCCGGAAUUCUUGGGCGUAAAGAGCUCGUAGGCGGUUUGUCGCGUCUGCCGUGAAAGUCCGGGGCUCAACUCCGGAUCUGCGGUGGGUACGGGCAGACUAGAGUGAUGUAGGGGAGACUGGAAUUCCUGGUGUAGCGGUGAAAUGCGCAGAUAUCAGGAGGAACACCGAUGGCGAAGGCAGGUCUCUGGGCAUUAACUGACGCUCAUGCACGAAAGCGUGGGGAGCAAACAGG
rnacentral:rRNA from 1 species